rnacentral:lncRNA from 1 species
AGCCCUAACCCUAGCCGUCGCAUCAACGCUUGCGGGAAGUUUCUCGCGAACCCUUCGGUAAAACUUCUGCGGGGUUGCUACGAUUUUUCAUCUUUUCUCCGGUUUUUUCUUGUGCUUUUUCGCUUUCCUCUGUUUUUUCUGCUGCUCUCGAUGUCGUUUCUCGGAUUGCUGUGGGCAAGUGUUUAUAGACUAUUGAUGUAGAAGAGUAAUCUGUGUGUACUGGAUUUCUUGUUUUAGGGCUUAUCCUAUUGAUUCUUGAUUAGCUUCAUGUGUGUUUCUCCAAAUCGAGACAGCUCAAUUGGUAAUUAACUCUAAAAAAUCAGGUUGGCACCUUUUCUCUCCUUAAUGCUUCAUAUGCUCAAUUUUCCAUCUUUGAGAGGUAUUUACUGUUGAUAAUUUUGUUUUUUUGGUGAUCUGAUGCUGUAUUGUAGUACAAUUUCCACGGUUUUAGUGAGCUUUUACUUGGCUGCUACACAUUAAUCUGUGGUGGGACUUGUUAUAGUUUUCCAAACAGUAUUGGUGCAAUGAUGCAACAAAAAAGUGGCCUAAGUAGUAUGUAAUAUUCAAUUGUGUAGAUAUCGUGAGUCCGUGACAAUAUACUACUGUUUACAGAAGCAACAGAACUACAACUAAGUUUUGCUUAAAUUUAGGGCUCAUAUGAACUUGUGAUAAGAAAUAUAUUUCGCUUGAUUAAUGGUGGCUACUAACUUGGUACAGACCCUGACAACCAAGGUACACCAUGAUAUGCAAAUAUAGAACCAACAUUUAUGCACUAGAGAUUUAUAUUUAUGUACUUGAAGAGUUUUUGCCUGCAUCAUUUUAUUUCUUAUAUUAGCAUAUCAAUAGAACCAAAGUUUACAUAAGUGAUGAUUUAGGGAGCAUGGCACACAAGUUGAUUUGUUUUCUUAUUAUUCUCUUUGAUUAUUACUUAGUUGUAAACAGUUUCUAAUUAUUCAUUUUUUUAUUCGUUGUAUUAUUUUUACAAACCUGUUGUUCUUAUUAUUCACUCUAUUUUGUGGGAAUUGCCCAUUAAGGGAUUAAAUGCAUAUGCUUAAUCAGUCUUUCCUUUUUUUAUUUUUUAAUCUGGACAUCUUUUUUAUUCUGUUUUUUAAUUCUGUCUCUGAAUUUUUUUUUGCACAAAAAUUUCAAUUUGAAUUAGUGGGAUCCAUAUGGACAUGACCACACUUGCCGGUGCAAAUAUUUUUUUAUGGUGCAUUUGCACUAGCAAGGAUUUUGUUUCUGAUAUGUGUUAACAAGCUUAUCAUGCAAUUUUGUUGCCCUUGUAUGAACAUCUGUACCAGCAUAAAUUUACUUUGAUACUUCAUUGAAUAAAUUGACCCACUAAUUUAUUUUAAAACUUUAUUCAUCGCCUGCUUGAAAAACUUAUUAAUCUUCCUCUCUAAUCUGUAGAGUGCAGUGAUCAGCCGUCGGGUCAAUGCAAGUACCAAAGAAGGGAAGAUAUGGAGUAAGGAGAAUGACCCAUCAAAGGUCAUAGAAAUUCCUUAUUCAAAACCUAGGAACCACACAAUAUAGUAAUGGCAGUCUGGUAAUGCCAUGGAGCCUUUUUAUCACACUCCACCAGAUAAAUGAUGGGGCCAGAACAAUCUCUUGUGCCCAUCAUCAUGAAAUCCAUUUGUUUCUUUGAUAUAUCCAUCUCAGUUGGUAUUGGAUUGACUCAUUCUUGCUGUGUGAGUCCAAAUUCCAAUAAGAUAUGUGGUCCAAGUUUGGACCCCAAGUGGGGUGUGACAUAAAUCAUGUUCCAUGAAGAAUAAUUAAGUGACCUAGCAAUGAUAAAUCUGAUCUGUGAUGAAAGAUGAGUAGGGAGUGGUGAGUUGGGUCAUUCCAUGUCCAGUUCUAGGCUUCUGUAUUGAACACUGGUGUCAAAAGCAUAGUGACAAAUAGAGAAGAGAAAGGCUCGUCAUAAUCUCAUGAUGUGUUAUGGACCAAUGAUUUUUGUCAAAACCCACUAACCCAAGUUGGGAAUGCUUCAGAAAUAUCAAAGUUGGAGAGGUAUGUGGGAUUUCUUAAUUAGGACCGCAGAUGAUAAGAAUCCAGACAACGUGAUGGUGAACCCUACUAGGUCUCCAUUGUUUUGUUGUAACUGGGCCACCUACUGGUAAGUUAACCAAGGACAAGUGAAGCUCGAGGAAAACAGGAAAUUAGCAUGUGUCGCCAGAAAUACAUCAAGAUAACCCCCUAAAAUAAGCUCAAAAACAACUUUUGGAGUUCCCAAGUUAUCAGAAAUUGUGACGAAACUUGGCUUGACAUCAGAACCACUUUUACGUGUACUUGUAAAUAUACAUUCAUUCAUUUAUAAAACAACAAUUUUGUAUAAUUAACUCUGUAUGGCUUCUCAAUAGAUACAAAUACAACAGUAUCAUUUAGAAGUAGCACACAAAUGCAAGCAUGCUCGAUGGCAUUUCUUCACAAAUUUGUAUUAGCAUUUUAUUCAUGCAUUUAAUGUUAUUGACUGUAUGAAUCUUGAGUGCUCCUUUGGACAAACUACUAUCCAGAAAAAAAAAAAAAAAAAAAAAACAGUCUUCUCUCUCUUUCUUUAAGUCACUUUAUAGGUUAAGUGGUCCUCGAGAGAGAGAGAGUACAGAAUUAUUGACACUCUUGUGGCGUGUUGUCUGUGGCUAUAUAUAAUCCCUACUUCCCAACCAAUAACGAAGAGGUAACCAACAUUAUGCCUUUGUUAGGAACAAAGGUAAUGAAUGGUCUUCAAAUCUGAGCACAUGGAGUCAUUGGUCGACUGUAUGUACUCCUGCAAUUACCUCGUAAUUGUGUUAGGAGGCAUCAGAAAGCCAUAACUCGUGAUUGAAAUUGGUUGGUGAGCUUCUCAUCAGUCCCACACCCAAACAAAUGGUAUCUCACAGAUGUGAUCUUAUAAAAUAAUAAUAAUAAUAAACAUCAAGACUAUUUAUCUGUGAACUCUGUAAGCGUUGAAGCUGAAAAUUCUUACGAUGAAUUUUGAGAAAGUAAAACAAAUUAAUUCGUUUCAGGUGCAAUUAUUUGAAUAAUCUAUUGGUUUAUUUUUUUUCAAAAUUCAUGUGUUGUUUUUUUUUUUUAAUUUUCAAUUAUGGACUUCGUUUCUUGGUUUGACAUAUGCAGAUGCUCAUGGGUUUGAUUCAGUAAAUUUCAAACAAAUUUAAAUAUAUAUAAAUAUAUAUAUAUAUGUAUAAUUUUUAAAAUAAGAAAAAAAAUAUAUUUUAAAAUUUAAACAGAGUUUUAAAAUACCGGCCGGUACUGUUUGGGAAAGAAAAAGAUCGUAUAAGAAUAUUUGGAUUCGGGAUUGUUCGGAACUAUCUCAAAAAUCCACGUAAUGGUCAAAUCUGCAAUGUCGUGAAAAAUAUCCCUUUCGGUUUGGGCUGUUCUUCCACUUCCAUGUCGGGCGGCUUCAUCUCCAUUUAAAGCCCGCUCGAUCUCCCUCCUCUCUGCCCUGAGCCGCCGAAGCUUCUGCAACUCCAUCUCCACUGGCCGCUGCAGACGAAUCGCCGGUCUUGGAACUGGUGGUGUUCAUCUGGUUCUUGAAUUCACCCGGAAGUCGAUCUUCUGUAUUUUCAUCUCGCUCGAUGUUUCUCGUCAGAGAGGUGUAAUAUCUUCGUUAGGUAUUUGUCCUUGUCAGAUGUUCUCAAGAAAAUCUAAUCGUGUUUGGUGGUUUGGUCCGUGGAUUCCGGACGCUGAUUUCAUGUGAUAUCUUGUGAUCUUCCAUUGCUCUAGUUCUGGUCUUCUUCAGCUUGGUUGCUCGACGACGAGGAGGAGGAGGAGGAGGCGGAGCGGGAUGAAGAUACAGUGUGACGUGUGCGAGAGGGCGGCGGCGGCGGUGCUGUGCUGUGCCGACGAGGCCGCGCUGUGCUGGAGCUGCGAUGAGAAGGUCCAUGCCGCCAACAAGCUCGCCGGGAAGCACCAGCGAGUCCCUCUCCUCCCGACUAAUCCCAACUCUUGUUCUUCGCAGAUCCCCAACUGUGAUAUUUGUCAGGUUGCUAUCUCUCAGUCUCUCCUAAUACUCAUUUUGAUGCCCUUCGGUAAAGAAUUCUAGUUCUAAAUACACUAAUUUAGUUUUCUUGUUGCACACUUUGCUCUUUAAUUUCUUUCUAAUUUCUUGAAUAAAAACAAAAAUAACUGGGAAAAAAAACAGCUCUUGGACUUGUUUGAGUUGGAGUUGAUUGAUUUAGUUGGUAUUCACUUAGUACAGUGUUGCUUGCAGCUUUAGGAUACGAAAAAUUGCUUUGCACAUCCUAUCCAGAUCUUAUAAUGCAAAUUUUCUUACUUAAUAACCAACCUUUUUCUUUUUUUCCCUUGAUUUGAAACAGUUUGCUUUAGAUAUCAAAUCUCAUAAGAAAAAGAGAAAAGAGGAUAUUGCAUGUUCUUCCUAUUGUUAAGCACCCUGCCCUUGCUGGAUAGUUGCUCAGCUGAGAUUGAAAUGCUUUUGAGCUCAGCCUUGUUUAUAUGUUUGUGUCUACUCUGACGUUGAAAAUUGGUCAAGAGCUAAGUUGGCUACUCUAUCAAUCCCUUUCUAGUCUUUGGAGGGGUGUUUCAUUUUAAUCAACAUGCAGAAUCCUACUUUUUGAAAAGGUUGGAGUUCAUGCCUACACCUCCCUGUUCUUUUCUAGGAAAAAUAAGAGAAACUUUUCUUGUCAUGUAAAUUAGAACAGGGAUUAUAAUGAAGUCUUGGAGUUUCUUGCAUGAAAAUGUUUGGAGUGCAUGCAAAUUCUACUAUUUACACAUGAUGCUGUUAUAUAUCUUCAUUAGAAUGCGUCUGUAACAAGUAGUCAAAUUUCUUUUUCUUCAGCAGACCUAUCUAACUUGUUAGGUUGAGAGUCCAUUCUCUGUAAGUGAAACUGGAAUCUUCAUCUGGUACACGAUGGAAAAAGGUUGAUGGGCUCUUAUCUAGUGACAACAGAAAGAAAUAAAUUAGCGGAGAUUGAUUUAGUUUGCAGACACAAAGCAGUUGCUUCAUAAAUGCGGCCCAAGAAAGUUGUCACAUAACUCCUCUACCAACAAGCUUCCUCUUUCUCACUUAAUUUUGUGGCUUCUGCAUUUAUGAUGAGCGCUAAAAAGAUACUUACAAUCUUUUCAUACUUCAUUUCAUUGUCAAAGGGACCAAAUGCUUUUCUCAUUGUUGUCUACUUCCCAUUUGGUUCAGGUGUUAGGAAAAUACACAUUGCAAACUAUAACUAAUUAUGUUUUAUUGGAUGGCCUGAUGGAUGAUAACUGACGUUUUUAAUGAUAGCAUAUACUCAACCUUGUAUCUUCAGAUAUGGUACAAGCUAUUGACAUCUUCGGUUAUUUGGUCCCAACAGGUGCAGUUAAAUAUUGUGGUAAUUGCUAUACACAUCCUCUGAAUGUGUUAAGCAGUCGGACAUGUAACCACUAAGAUGCAGUGAGUAAUAUAUAUGUACUCUUAUGUGUAUGUGUGUGUGUGUGUGUGUGUUCAAAUGCUAGAAGUUUAUAAAAAUUGACAAAAAAAAAAAAAGAGUUUGUUCGUUUUGAAGUCUUAUAUCCGUUUUCUUAAGAAGAGAGUGAUUAGUUUUGUUUUAUACACCUUGAAGAUAAAAAAAAAAGAAAAAAGAAUAAUGUUUAGGAAAGCUUUGAUCCAAAUGUAUAGUGUUGGUUGCUAACUUGUAAAGGAUGCCACACAAAGCUAGAUAAUUUUCUACAAUUGUUGGAGAGGAAGAAGAUAUAGAAUUCAUAAGGUACAACUCUCAAUAUGAAGUAGAUGCACUGUGAACUGAUGGUUACUGUAAGCUUCGUUUAUUAUUUUUGGGACCAAGAUAUAUUAAGUUCUUAUAGCUACACUUUUGUAUUAAGAGUAUACCUGCUGAGCCUUCCAUUUGUCUGCUUUUAUUCCUUUUAUAUCGUGCAUGAUGAGUGCUCUUUUUAAACUCCAAUGUGUAAUCAGUCAUUAGAUUGAUCACUUGGUGGCUUACUGAGUUUUGUUCAUAAAAAAACAUGCUAUGACUUCGACUUGUCUGCUGUUGUUCCUUUCUCUUCGAGCAUGAUAAGUGCCUUUUCCAAACGAUGAUUUGAAAUCAGUCAUUAGAUGGAUUGCUUGGUGGCUUGCUGACUUUUGCUUGUGAAAAACACGUUAUGCCUUCCAUUUGUCUGCUUCUGUUCCUUUCUCUUUGAGCAUGAUAAGUUCUCUUUGCAAACUAUAAUUUGUAAUCAGUCGUUGAAUGUUUUUGGUCAUAAAAAGCAUGCUAUGUGACAAGCUAUUUUUCUGGAAAAAGAAGGCAGGGACUUCUAGCAUGUAAUCUGGUGCUCUGAAGUCUGAACUAAGUGACCGAUGAAGUUGUGCUUUCGACAGGUGCAUUCGUUAAUGCAAAUGUACUCUGGUGGUUGAUAGCCCUCAUAAGUUCGAUCUCUUAUAUGAUAAAAAUCCUACUUUUAUUGCUUUGACCUACCACUCAAGGCAGAACCUUUCUUGCUUCUUUGUUGCCACCAAGCAGGAGUUAAUUCUCUUUGGUGCUUCAAAUUGUUCCAUUCUUUUUAUUUGUAGACAAUCUCACAAUCUUUUUUUUAAUCUAAUUAGUGUGGAAUAUCGGUUCCCACCACAUUUGCCUGUUCUCCCCUAGCAGGUUAAAACACACGGCCAGAAAAUUUUGGCCUUGGUAGUGACAAUUUGGUGCAGAUAUAGAUUGUCUUAAUGUUUCUUCUCUUAGCAUAACUUUAAUAUUAAUCUUUCAUACUGUGGAUUACAGGAGAAAGCUGGGUAUUUCUUCUGCUUGGAGGAUCGUGCUCUACUGUGUCGGCAGUGCGAUGUGGUCAUCCACACGGCCAGUCCAUACGUAUCCUCCCACCAGCGUUUUCUGAUCACCGGCCUACAAGUUGCUCUUCAGCACCAUCUUACCAACGGCAGCAACAAGAACAGCAGCAGCGGGGGUAAUGGUGACAGCAACAGUACCAGGAGCGACGGCCCCCAUAGAUCUCAGGUUACAGCUGAUUCAAUUGUCAAUCAGAAGCUUCAAGCAGCCACAUCAGGUUAUGUUACGGAGGAGGGUUUGAGGCCACCAUGGCCUUGGAAUGAGAUUCUUGGUGGUUUUCAAUUCGAUCCGUGCCACGGACUGUCGGAGCCAGGUUCUCCGGAUCAAACAGGGUGAAGGUAAAUUGCAUUUCUCAUUGUCAUUAAGUCAGAAAAUCAAAUUAUUCUACUACUUUGAUUUGCAUUCUCUGGAGGAGUUUGUGUCUGCACUAUUCCUCUUUUGUGUGGGAAAGAUCAGUCAGUACAUGAGUGCAAUAAUAGUCCAACUCCCUCCUAAUCUGGAGGGACUCCUUCAAUUUAUCUCUAUUUAUAACGUCUGUUUUCGUUUAUAUAAUGACAGAACCUCCGUAAGUUCUGAUCAUCGAUCGUUUUCUAAAUCUAUCAAUUAUAGUAAUCCGGUAGAAAAUAAAAAAAAGAGAGUAAAAGAGUCUAAUCUUCAUGUGCAGAUAGAUAUACGGAGGCUUUGUGAUCUUCGAGGUAUCAAAGUCAAUAAUAUCAUCUAAACGGAGGAAGUCAGGUGCUCGUCUUCAAUCGGUUGUGUGAAUGGAGAUUAGAGACAAUGUGAGGUCAUCAACCCAUUCAUCUGUUUCCUGUUUCAGUCUCCCUUAGGACUGACUGUACACGUCUUGGAUCGUCGGUUUCCUUCGUCAACGCUUAGGUGACAUGAGGUCGGAUGCGGGUUGACAGUGAAAAGACAACGCUUAGGUGACGUAAGGUAGAUCGAUGACAGAUUUGACAUUGAAAAGAUGAUACUAAAAAACUCCUUCGUAUUUUUAGCUCUUUUUAAUUUUGAUUAUCCUAUGACAUGUCGAUGACGAUGAAAAGCGAUGAUACUAGAAAGCUCCUGCAUAUGUAGAAAAUUGCAGCCCCUACACCCAUAACCAACCCUUAUCAUGAAGCCAAAGGUUGACGGAAGAGAUUUCUGGCUCUUUUUUAAGUUUGAUUAUCGUAUAACAUGUUGAAAUGGAUGAUUCUAGAGUUCCAAUCUGAUAAUGUUAAUCUCGGUAGUUAGCUCGUAUGCUAAAUCUGACCUGAUCUCUAGCCCGCCCACUUUCAAAGGAGAAAUUACCUUUUGAUUCCCGAACUCAGAAAGAGAUUCUCUCCCGAUGAGGAUCAAACCCGUGUCUUCAAUUUCCUGACGCAUGAGAAUCCUGCAAGACUUAGUGCCAGAGAUUAAAACCUGAAAGAGCUAAGUGUAAAACAAAGACAUCGAGUUACAGCUACCAUCAUGGAACUACCGAUUGAUAGAUCGAUAGCUAUCAUCAUCUGCAUUCAAGUUUCAAACCUGGUAGAUGACACGAAUUAUGAGUCUGCAUUCUUAGAAACUACAGCUCGGUUCAUGUCCAUGUGAGCAGGCCACAGAAACCAAGCCAUGAGCCGACGAAGAAUUCCAAGGCAGAAAAAGCUAAACGAAGCUUACGUGAAAUCCCCUGGAGGGGGGAUACCCCACAAGGAAAACAUUGGCAUGGAUCAGCUGUAUGUAACAGAUCCCCAAUGGAAAAUGCUCUGACCUGACCUUUGUAGGUUCUAUUUAUUUCUGAGUCACAUCACAUGAGAAAGAAAGGUAGUCAAGCAUACUCAAUUCUCGAGAACCAACUUCUUGAACCGAGUGAUGCAUUGUAAUGCCCGUUCAAACUCGGAAUUCUCGAGAGCGAAAGCGAGGCGGCAGUAGUUCGGAAUUCCAGUCCAUGAUCCACUGUUAAUGCACAGACCAGUAGCUUUUAGAACAGCUUGUCUGAAAUUGGUAGCAUCAAGCUUGGCCUCGAAGUCAUCUAAUUUAAGCAUCUUGCCCAGAUAAGCUGUUGGUUUAGCUACCAUAGAAACACCACCACAGCAGCCAACGACGUCCCAUCCGCAGCUUCGGAGUGUCUGCAAAAGAGAAGGAACAUGUACCAGGAUAAUUUAGAAAGUCUGUCUACUUGAAAAAUAAAAUAAAGAAGUAAAAGUGUAAGAUGAGAUGGUCUUAAAACAACUUUUGAUUCUUAUGGCCAACCUUUGAGGCUCCAUUCGGGUGAACUUAUCCAUCUCGGAUACAAGUCAAAAGUAGACAAAUAAAUAAACAAAUAAAUAUUUUAUAUAUAGCAUUUAUCAAGCAGUUAAAGACUGCAGUUCGAGUUCGUGAGUCAUGAACUAUAUAGCUAAAACAUUGUUUUGUCCAAUUUCUUCUAUGCUAUGCUAUCUAUGGUCCUCAUAAUAUUUGAAUUGAUUUGAAACUCUAAAUGCAUAACAGUAUAUACCUUCAUCAAGCAAUCAGAACGACUUCUUAGAAUAUCUUUCUGUUCAUCCAUGACUCGAGAGAACUGCUGAAACCUUUGGCCGCGGAGACCCAACAACUUUUUGAUGGCAUAUUUGACUGUGCUGUGUGGCCUGCCCAAGCUCGGUAGGGUAGAAAAUGCAUCGAUCAGGGUUGGCUCAUUCAAAAUCAAGAAUCCAAACUCAAGACCUCCGGUGAGCAACUCAAAUGACAACCCACCAAGCAGAGACACAGCGAAGGAUGAGUUAGUAGUAGUACAUGUAAGUGACGAAAGACAAUUUUUCAGAUUCCAUCCCUCCCAACCAUCUCUGCGGAACUCUAGACCUGAGAAACAAGUAUCAAUUACCACCCUGGCACCAUACUCGGCACAGACAGCAAGUAUCUCACUAAUCUCUUUGUUGUCAUAUAGCAAGCCUGUUGGAUUGACGGUGGGUCCAGACAAGUACAACCAUGGGUUUGUUAAGGUCCCAAGCAAGCUUGCAAGUGUAUCUGGAACAAGCUUAAAACCUAUUUCUGAUUGUGUUGGGACAGUCAAAAUGUUUGCAUUCAUGAACUUUGCCACAGAGACAUAAUUCCCAUUUGUGCCCGAGGGGAAAAGGAAGGUGCCUUUUUCUUGUAUGCAGCAACGAAUUAACUUGUUGAAAAGGGCUAACUGAGAAUUCGCAAAAAUGAACUCUGAAGAACCAUCACAUGGGAACCCAUAACUAUUCCUUACCAGCUGCUGAAUUCCAAAACGAACAUCGGUUUCAGACUCAACCAUGUUUUGUCUUGCAAAGCUCUCGAAGAUGGAUGCUUUUACGGCAGAAGGUAUUGGCAAGAAGCUUUGAUCUACAUCCAUGUGAAUCAGUAAAUUGUCCUUAUGAUCAGUGAUGGAAAGCUCGGCAUUGUUUACGGCAGAAACAGCAGAACUUGCAAAUCCUAUCAACUUAGCCGAGUUUCUGUCCGCACGUACCCUCUGCACAAUAUACACAAAACUAUGCAGAAAAUUACAGGUAUUUACUUAAGAUUUGUUGCAAGAAUCAUCAUAACUGCCAGUAGCAAUGCUAAGAACAUGAAUGCACGUGAAUGAUUGUGCAUGCAUGUUAGAGAGAGAGAGAGAGAGAGGCACCUCUGCAGGUGAAUGACGAUCUGCUAGCUGAAAUGCGAGCAGCUCAUGGAACAGACAGCCAUAGUAGUACUGACUAAAUAAUGCUGUAUGCCCUUCCAGUAACUCCACAGUCUUCGGCAAUGUUGUAUAUACAGACUCAUCUUCAGAUAUGACAAAGGCCACUUCUAAAUCAGAAUAAACCUGAGAAGAAAACUAUUAUUCCACCAUUCAAAGAGCCAUUAAGACUACUUAUUUAAUUUUUUGAUCUAAACUGUUAAAUCAGAGAACUGUCCUAAAGAUAAUAUAGGAAAGGGUAAAUAUAUAGUAAAAUUUUAAUCAAACAUGCCCUACAAUCAAUGUCAUGAUGUGGAGGAACUUUCUCUUGGCUAAAUAGGUGUUUCUUGAGGAAAUAAUUUGCUAAAGAGCUUCCUGUUAAACCAAAGAAAUAUAUGGACAAACAACAAAACCAAGUUCUUAAAAUUUUGCCCAUCUCCAAAUUUCCAAUUACAUAAAGCAUUUGAGUUCAAGUGCUGAAAUCGAGACACAAAUAGUUUUUACCUGAUUUUUCACUAGUCCACACAAGAUAGUUGCAUGUGACGGCAGACUCUUGCCGGCAAGAUACUUUAACACUCCAUUUGAUCCAGGAAGACUUGAAAUCUCAAAGUGGUCUGAUAUAUCCAAGAAAAGACGGGCACCAAGCUCUUCAGUAGUAUUCAAUAAAUUUUCAAAUGCAGAAGUUGUAAUGGCCUCAAACUGAGCCAUGCCAGUAAUUACAACUUGUGGUUUUAGCUUUUUAAUCAACUCAAUCAUCAGGUCAGACUGGCGCGGUGCCUCAAUCACGGUAAUGAUAUCUUCAAGUUCAUCAUUAGUUCCCUGAUGUAAACGAAAUCCCAUCAUAUGAUUAACAUGAACAGUGCUAGCUUAUGGCGUCAUUAUUUUACAAGACAUGUGCAAGUGUGCGCCAAACAGUUACAUACAAAAUCCUUCAUCAAGCUAGUAGAAGCACAGUAAGCUCUGAGCUCAAGCAUAGCUUUUUUUCAGGGUACUAAAGGCAUGCACACAUAUGUACAACCAUGAAGGGCAAGAGCGAGCAUAGCUGAUGUAGGGCCUUACCUCAAUUUCUAAAGAUGUCAGCCAUUGCUUUGGCAAGUUUCUAGUCAAAUGUUCAUCGACAAUAGCAAGUCGUGGAGAGAAGAGCCGAAGAGCAUUCUCAAUUGCCACAGAUCUUGAAGGGAAUACUGUAACAUUCUUGUAAACCAGAAAACAUAUAAAGUCAACAUGCCACCCUUUGUUUUUUUUAGAACAACACCAAGCACAAAAAGAGACUCAAAUAUAUGGCACCGUUUAUUUCACAUUGACGACACAAUAAUUGUAUUUGGUUAUAAUAGUGUCAAAAAAUACAUGUCAUGCUCCCAACUAUUUGGAUCAGCUAUAUGGACACCUAUAAAUAUUUCAAUAGACAAAAAUAGCAACUCAAGUAAUUGUUAACUCAUAUGAGUAUAUAUUACUUCUCAUAUUAUUAUUAAAAAAUUGCAUGGAAGGUUUAAGCAUGAAACUUACAGAAAUUAGGUAGUGGAUUGUUCUGUUUUAAUAAAUCCACAAUCAAUUAAUAAUGUCCACACCUUCAAUUAAAAACAUUUCUAUGUCAUUAUGACCACGAUGAGCUGUUAUACUAGUUGAUGUAUGAAGCUAUAGUCUGUGCCACUUGGCACUAUAAAAGAAAAAUUGUUCCAAGAAAGCUACACCGAACCAGGGGCACUGCAACAUUGGCUUGGGGAUAAUGCAUGCUUGAAACUUUUAACUUAUUUCAACUAUGUAAACUUCCUUUAACUUAUUGUUAAAAGAAAACUAAACAAAAGUCAAAAGUUGGAGUAAGUGACUUGUAAUUUAAUCUAGCUGCAGUAAAAAUCAUAAAAAAGAAUGCUUUUCUGCUGUUUGAUUCCAGAGGUUACAGUUCUAAAAUCAUAGUUCUCCUUAAACAGUCAUGUAUUUGCAGUUAGCUAACUGUCUGUGGCCAGUAUAUGAGGUUAUGAUUGUCAUCAUAUAUUAAAAUUAGAGAGUAAAAUACUGUAGGCAGGACACUGCAACCAACCAAUGAAGCUCAAAGUUCAAAGAAAUUGUGUCUAUUAGCAAACAGAAAUUAGCUUGAUCAAAAUAACUAAAUUGAAUAAGUCAUUGUAGCUCUGAGAGCUACACAUAUCAUGCAAAAAUUAGCAGGAGUUGGGGGACUAAUAGAAGCAACUAUAAGAAUAAUCUAACAGAAAACCACAAGCAUAUGAAGCCAAAUAUUGCACCCCACUCAAAUGCACUAAACAGGUUUGCAUGAACACCUGUUCACUGAAUCUAACAUUUAUUAGAAGCAUAUUCACUUAUCAGCAUUAGAGAACAUAAUACUAUUGCAGUAGUGAUAACUAAGAAAUAUAUGAAAUACAUAAAUUUUGUCACACAUCUGGAGAAACCAUUUCAUGUGGUACUCUUCAACAAGAGGAAGUUCUAUCAUCUUGCUGUAUAUAAGUUAGUACAGAUUUUCCUAAUAAGAGUUGCCAAUUAUGCAACUUGCAGAAUUAGACUACAAAUGGGCCUCAUAUCUUCAUAGUAUCAUCAUGAAGAGUGUUCAUGAAACACCACUGGCCAAAACCUAUAUCAAUAAAUAUGUAAAUGCAAACUUAAAACCGAAAAACAAUCUAGACUGGAGUGGCAUGUUUGAUGUCUGACCAGAGAUAAAACAAUUACAAAAUUGACUUAAAAAGCAAGUGACACUCAAUGCAUGUCCAGCUUUUAUGACAAGUUCAUGAAGAAUCAUCAAAUUUUACAUGCUUAUGGUCUACAAUCUAUGCUAUGAUUUCUGUGACUUAAUCUGUAAACAACAGUAGCAUUUGCAAAUUCCAAUUCUAAAAGUAGACCAUUCACAUAUAAGCAGGCGCAGGAAAUAAACUUCUUGCAGUAGAAAGGUGGCGUGCAGAUUUUAACUGCUUACAUCUGCACUUAGUGGAAUGUGAUGGUAUACUUUCAUAAAUCCAGCUAUAAGGCUUCUAAAACGCAUACUUCCAGCUGGGGGAUCAUAUGGAAGAAAUGAAUUUUCUUUUAAUACACUAGCAAGAUAAGCUAGGAAUGGUAUCUUUUCAUCAGCAACAGAAUCAUCAUCAAAUGACAGAUCUAAGGAGCUGCUGACCUCUCGAAAACCAUUUCUUAAAAAUUCAAAUAUGGUUUUCACCUGCCAACAUACUACAAAUUGUUAGUUAUGCGCACUGCACAAAUUUCUCUAAAAGAACAAAAGAGAAAGUACAAAUAAUGCACCUGAUUUGGUUGGCGAAGUUGACAACUAUAGACAGACAAAGCAUGUGAAAUACGACAACCAGACUUCACAUAUGCCCAAGCUGUACGAGCACAAAUAGGCUGAUCACCAACAAGACCCAUAAAAAAUUCAAAGCGAUGAUGGCUGUUCUUCUCAAUUUCAACUAAGGCUGAAAUAUCUGUAUCAGCAGCCUACGACAACUCAUUUCAGUUGGAUUAUAUUAGAUUUUCAGAACAAUGUUGACCAAGGAAAACAUAUUACACUUGAAAGUAACAGAAUACGAAAUGAUCUUGACUGCAAAAACUCAAGAAAUAUAGAUUUCCAGGGAUGUCUUUAGGUAAUCAAGCAGUCACAGUCAGAUUUAGUCAAAGAUUGUCAAUUUCAUAUACCUGCAUAACUUUUGUUUGCCAAAGCUUUGUGAUAUGGAAACCACGACGUUCAAACAAUCGUUUGCAAACACCUUGCCCUGGACGUCCUCCUAUAUUAAAUACCAUAAUUCCCAUAGGCUUUAUGACUUCAAUUCCUUCCUCAACAGCUCGUGCAAUUAAACCCAAGCCAAAUUGAUCCUCAACAAAGCCCUAGUUUGAUAGUUUUAUGCAACAAUUAUAAAUCAUAGAAGGAUAUGACAUAUAGAAAAUCUACCAUUCUGAAUUAGAAAGUAAACUAAAAGGAAAGAUAAGAGAUCCAAAAAUAUCAAUUUCAAUUGUUUUAGGCUUUCAUUUAAGAAAGUAACAAAGAUUGCUCAACUGAAUUUUAUCUUGCAUGCACAAGCCUAUACAGGCAUAAAUUUCUUGCAAAGUCUGAAUGUCAUGCAGAACUAGGAUAACAUAGAUGAAUGGACCCAGAACUGGUUGCAAAACUAAUAUUCAUAUUGAAAUGAUUAUUUUCCAAAAGGCACUAGAGACCUAGAAAGUUACUGGCCUUUCAGGUCAUGAACUACUAACCAUAUCAUUUGUCACAAAAACUUUAAACAUAAUACUGGAGCAAAAUAAAUAACAAAAAAAGUACAUAUGCAGUCCAACAUCUUCAAAAUGAACCCACAAUGAUAUAAAAUGAAAUUCACAUAAUUGAUAGUAAAAAGGCAAGGAUGGAACAUCUCACUAGACAUGAGAGGACAGCUACGAAUCAUAAAGCACAAACACUUCAAAAGGAUUACCGUGUGCAUGUCGGACACUAAUACAUAUCUGAAACUCUCAAACAUGUCUGGUACUUCGUGAUGUGUUGGGUGCUUAAGAGAAUAUUAGGACACAUUUCUUCUUUAUUGUUUAUGUUUUACAAAGUAAAGAAGUAAACAAAACAUUUCUUCUUUAUACAUUUUCUUUACAUCAAAGAUCACUAUUCACUUCUGUUAGGGACUUUGCUUUCUCAAGUGGUUCCAUGCAUAGUUGCUAGACUGUGCCUUCUUCUAACUUGUGAACUUUUUACUAAUUGGGUUGAUGUGAAAUAAUAUCAUGACCAAGGUAACAUCUCUGUUUUCAUGAUGGUUGUUCAGAAAUUUGUAAUAAGAUAAACUUAUGGUUGGAUGAUGCCACUAAGAAAUAAAUUUAGUGGAAGGUGCCUUUUAACAGACCUACAUGCAUCUAAAGUGUUAACAGCUGGGAAUAUAUGACUUCAUGUCACAAAGAACACAACGUUCCCAAUUGAUCAAGCUACUUAACGACCACAAUAACAGAAUUUUCCUUUCAAAUUAUAAUUCAGAAAAGAAUACAAAAUGAACCUGUUGAGUCGUUGACAUACUACAACAAAUUACAUUAUAGCAUAAUAUUAUAUUCUGCUAGGGUCAGCAAUUGGUCUAAGUUGUACAGCACCCUUGCGGUCUCUGUUUGCAAAGGGUCAAUCUCCCCAUAACCUUGUGCAGUCCCAAAGGGACUUGCAAGCGGAUUAAUGAAGGUGAAUGCAUGUAAAAGCUGCCAUUGUUGCUCCUCCCAGUUAUAAACUCAGGGUAACACAAAUAAACAUCACACAAACACUUUAUGGGCAAUGCAAUAAAAAGAUAAACUUCAUAAGCUCAUAACAAUUUCACAACAAAGGGGCUAAGGAUGGGUCGUUGCACCGCUUGCAACAGGUGUCUGAUGGGCAUUACUUUUUCUUCUUCCAUUGAUAUCAAUUAGCUGACUCUUCCAUGAGCCCUUUUGUUUUCGAGUUUGUGAUCAAUAGCCAACACCACACAAUGGGUAAAAGCUUGUCUGACUCUGUCAUCCGACCAAUACUUGGCAUUUUGGUUAACACUAUUUGUAACCUCAUAUACUGACUAGUGUAAAGUAGCUGGGAUGUUUGCAUGAAUUCCAAUUGCAUGUGAUUCUCAUGAAAGUUUCAGAUGCAUACAGCCAAUUCAUGAACCACCAUGUACAAAUGAAUCAGGUUUUUACAGCUUGUCCCAUAAAUUUUUUUAUACGGCAAAUUCCUUUGAGUCUCUAAAGGCCCCAUUCUGCACAACUAUUCUGAACUAUUGCAAAGUAUUAACAUUCAUUCUUUGGUAGAUUCCUUGGCUACUAAUCAUUCAUUCUUUGGUAGAUUCCUUGGCUACUAGAUUAGGUCCUGCUUCUUACAAAGAUGCUUCUAAUUUUCAACAACACAUAGUUAUACCAUUACACUGCAAGUAGAAUAUAUCUUCACCCAAAAACCCACACCCACUACAAUUGGAAAGUAAAAGGCAUUGGUGCAGCUCACAUAGAUAUUGUAUCCAGCCAUAACAGUUUAGUCUUACUUAGCGGAGAAAAGCUUACAAUUUCAAGACCCUAUAUACACGAACAACAACAAGCAGUAACGUCCCAGGUAGUUACAUGAGUCUUUUGCGGCCAUUGAGCUUUGUACAAAUAAUUUUACAUUACUUAAUUGGACUUUCAGCUUGCCUUUUUUUGGUCCAUCUUAACUGCACUUCCAGUUAUAAACAAAUGCUCCAUAACAUAAUCUUGUCAAGGAUCUAUUUGUCGUUUUUAAAGUUACAUUUAUAAUAGACAAAGGAUCCUCUUUAUCUAAGGAUUUUAACCAAUACAGAAUUAUCUAAAUUAUAAAAUAGGUAAAAAAAGGGGUAAAACACCAUCUAAACACUCAAAGGCAUUACAAUAAAUUAUCAGGGAACAGCAUAUGACAUUUUUUUUGUGGCUUAAAAAUUUUAUCAAAAUUAACUUCCCUACAUAUUGACAUGCAGAUAAGCAAAUGCCACCUUUUAGAAACCCAUGAUGAAUAUAAAGGAAACAAAACAAAGCAUAUGCAGUUUGUGUGCCAACCUGAAGAGCGCAAUAGUUACUUAACGAGUACAAAAAUUCCUCGCUUGCAUUUUCAGUAAUCAUCUUUGACAUGGCAUCUGGAUUUGGGUUGAGAAUCUGACAAAGGAUAGCAUAAACCAAAUCAUGCAGGAAAACAAAUAUCUCAAAUCAUCUAUCGAUAAUACAAACAAGUGAAGACAUGGAUAAAUUACUAAAUAACUUCAGGAUGAUUGCCACGAAAUUGUGUGUUUAGUUAUGUGAACAUAAAGCAUAUUUGCGCUUAAGAUUUUAGAAGGAUCAUGUUGCUGAAAGUUUGACUCCAAGAAUUGCAAAACAAUCAACUAAAAUAAGCUAAGAAACUUCAAGAUAUGGAAGUUAAAAGUAUAAUUAAAGAGGACAAGUCUACUUCAGAUUGGUCAGACAAGUAUUAAGUAACCCAAUCCAACCACACAAAGGGAAAGAAUGUACAUACAUAACCAACCAACAUUUGAAGUAGAAAAAUUAUGGUUUUACAUGUGUGGAAGUCCUAAUUUGGCACAAACCAUCAUGUUUGUACAUUAGCAUAAUUGAAUAAUAACAUUGGUCGCAGAUGAGCUAAAUUACCAAAAACUAGGUUUUCCACAUUUUCAAAAACUUUGUUCAGUACCUGAGGGAUGCAUCCAACAAUACGCUCUAGUUGUAUAUCAUUUUUCCUGCAAUAAGCUAGAAGAUCUGAUUCAUGGAAUUCCACCCUAUCAAGCAGAGUUUUUCCCUCUCCAUCAUAGAUAGGACACCCAUUCUCAUCCAAUGCAUUCAAGAACAAAUUAAUCCAUGAAAUUUUGACAGCUCUUGGAUUAAUAUCAAGCCCAUACACCUGGAUAGAGCCACAUUAGUACUUGGAGAUUACUAUGAGGACAAAUUCAUAAUAACUUUAAAAUAGAAAGAACAUGAAGAAAUUGGCACUUACAAUCAGGGGGAGCAUAACACAAAACAUGCCAACCUUGUUGUAUAAGUAACAAUUUAUUUUAAAAAAAAUACCUAUAUAAUUAUUUAUACAAUAAAGGUGUUAAAACAAGAAUAUGGAAGAUGAGCAUCAAAGUUUAUGCACUAUGCUAAAACAUACUAUUUAAGGGCAAGAAGUUAGUUGCUUGUCAAAGAGAAAAUACAUAAUGUUUGUGAUUGAAUAUAUAUCAGUUCAACUUUGUUUAUUUACCAUAAAGUUCUUUGGAAGAGUUUAUUUCAUUCGUUGUCUCUAAAUCUUUACACGUGCAUAUUGCACAGAACUUUCUCUAGAUCAAAUUCCACAUUCUUCCCUCUUUAUCCAAACUCUUCAAAGAUCUGAGAACCUAAAGAAAGCAUGCACCACUGCUGCAAAUAGAAAGGAAUAAAUAGGUACCAAUAAUUCCAAGCUAUAAGCCAUAUAUCUAAUGGCAUAAAGAUUGCCAAUUUGAAACUAGAAGCAAAUGGAGAAACUUCAAACCAAGGUUCGUCGUAUCGUACCGUACCGACGUUUCAACCCGGGCUCGAUACGGUAUGGUACCGGUGUACCAAACAAUUUUAUGUUUUUUAUACUAGCUACUGUAUAGUACUGUAGCAGUGCUACAGUGCUAUAGCAAAAAAUACUGUAGCACUGUAGUGGUACGGACGCCGAUGGUAAAUGACUUAAAGCUCACCAUUUUUUUAACAAGGAAUAUAGCAAAUCACUUAUCCAGGAUGAACUGAAACAUGACUUAUGUAUAAAUUAUGGAUACGAGUAUCUGGCAAACAGAAUUAAACCUUUAAAGGGGACCACUUUUCAGCAAGUGCAAUGGAUAUCCAUCCAUUUCCACAACCAAGCUCAGCAACAGUUUUGUCCUUGAAAAUGGAAUCAGGAUGGCGAUUUAUGCCCUCAUAGAAAGUAAAAGACCAAUCUUCUGGAAUGAAAAUGCUAGGGAUCACCAUCAUGGUCAGCUUCUUUCUCUUUUGGAAUCCUGGUGAAUUGUAAAUUGUUAGAUCAGCAAUGAGAGGAAACUAACUUUGAGAAGAAUAACUCUAACCUGAUAUCCAAUUGGUAAGCAUAAAACAAGCUUCCAAAUUUUCAAUACUCAACCAGAAAAAAUUUUCAACAUAUAAAGAAACAAAUAUUACUUGUUACUUGCCCAUGUAAGCGCAUUAGUAAAUGAAAUAUAUGCUUCCACAUUGUAGUUUCAUUCAAAUAAUCUGAAAGUACUAAGUACCAAAACUGGAAACAAGAAGUUAGCAAUGGGUUACUUAGCAACACCAAGCUCAAUUGCAUUCUUGGAGCAUAAUGAGCAGGUAAGUAUCUUCUUCCACGUCAUAAGUAGAAAUAUAAAUGCUGACCUUUUUCCUCUUGGUUGUUUCUAAUCUUACCUUGAUUUUUUGGAACCUGUAAUAUCUAGACACUAUCCUUGAAUAUAAACUCCAAUCGUCGGGGGCUCCCCCAAAAGUAAGAUAAGCCUUAAGUUCUCACAUUGACCCCACCCAGUCACAUUCAUGUUUGGAAAACAUGAAUUCUAGGGUAUCUUGUUACAAAUGUUCUUCCCCCCUUUUUUUUGCAACAUCAUGUUUAUGUGAAACCUGGACUCCAACCUUGCCUCUCCUGGGACUGCUAGGUAAGUUUGAGAGGAAUAAGGUUGACUAAAAAUCGUCACCAAAAAAGAGAAAAAUUCUAAAAUUUUGAUUUGAUUUUUGAUGAAUAGGUAGGUUUACUGAAAAACGGAAAUCAGUCAAACAGAAUUCUGAUAUUUGUCGUCAGAUUCCCAUAACAAGUCCAGAUCAAUAACCAAAUAAAGCUACUCAAAUAACCUAUGGGCUUAAGUACUAGAUUCAAUUUGCAUCCACCGGAUAAAAAGAGUGUAAAUAAAAUGUAAGCAAUUGAUUACAUCGAAUGAAUAACAACAAAUCAUUAGCGUGGGACGAGGAUACACAUAAUCGAGAUCUCAGUACGUUUCUUCCACUACGUCCUAUCACACUAAACCAUUUGUCUGAGUUCAACCUUUGCGUUAGAACCAAGUCAACCUUAACAGACAACUCGAAUCAGGAUCCCCAGCAGCCAUUUUCUUGAACAAACAACAAAAGAUAAGAAACAUCCAGUGUGAUUUGUCAUUUACACAAGCCUAAAGUUCAAAUUUUAAUGGAAACAGAAAUGGAACAUAAUAGAUUUAUAUCAGACGUCCAAUAUGUGUGUCAACCAGAUAAAGAAAGGAUGAAGACAGAUUGAUCCAUAUGGAAUCUGAUCCAAAACUGAGUCGAAUCCAUAAAGCUAACAAUCGGAAACAUCGCAAGUUCCUGUGUAGUAAGUUAAGUGAGAAGAUAGAUUCUAAAGAGGAUCAAGAACGACAGGGUGGCGAUAGAAAGAGGAGACAGAAGCGGGAGCAAGACUGAGAAAGGAGGGAACCGUCGACCUUGGAAAUCGUGGAGGAGGACGUCGUGGAUACGGAAAUGGUAGGUGCGGAAGCAUCGAUCAGCGUCGUCCUUGGCGUGGAACCGUUGCUGAACGCGGGCGAGGAACACACGGGCGUCGGAUCGGGUGGCGGGGUUCUCCAGCUUCUCCAGAACGAAUUUGAGAGCGGCGUAGGCGGCGUCGCCAGACCUCUCACACUCCCUCAAAAAGCCCUCCAUCUCCAUCUCCAUCUCCAUCGCCAUUUCUGCUCGCCUCUUUCUCUCUCUCUCUCUCUCUCUCUCUCUCUCUCUCGUUGUGUUGGGUGUAGAAAUGGAUCGCGGUCGAUUAACUAUUGCUCUUGUAUCAAAGCAUGUUGGACAAGCAGGGUUAGUUAUUUCAAAAGCUCACGUCGGUGAGUGGUGUUGACAAGGAGAGGGAAUCGGUCGGAGCCCCACCUUGUCGGCUCUCGAUUCCCAACUCCCACAAGCAUUCUUGGCCGUCGAUGAAAGAACGAAGGGACGCCAAGAUCCCGAGAACAACAAAUAUUCGAUGAUCCUUCGGACGCUACAGAGACACACUUUGUGUGGGCCCAGAAGGCUAUCUACACACCGACACACCGACGUCAAGACUUGAGGCCACGAGCGUGACCCACCGUUGGUGGGGUCGCAGCACAUGGACCAAAGCACCCUCUACCUCUCUGUAUGCGGGCCGCACGACGGGGCACGACGCAUGAGCUUUUCGCGCCGUCCCCGCAGAGUUGGCUUCGAUCCUGUCAAACUCCCACGUAAAGGUCAACUUUGUGAUACCGCCGACGCGCCUUUGAUCACAUGAUGCCCCAAAAUGACUGCGAGAGAAUGAUGAUGGAGCACGAGAGGGGCGGUGGUGGGUGCCCGGUGGAUCGCAUCCCCACGAAAGCAAAAGACAAGCAACGGGAACAUUUCCCACUGUCUGGUAUUGGAGGAGCGCGUGGGUCUGUCAGAGGGUGGCGGACGUGUCGCACCGGUCUCGACCGCUGUUCUCGUAUUGCACAUAUAAUUCCUCCACGUGCAGUUUACACUCCGUCGUCGAGCUCACUGUAGGAGUCGUGUUAGUCGCCUCGUGGAAGAACAGUUAGUAACUAAUUGACAUUGCUUAUAUGAUUUAUCUUUAGUCAUGUAUACAUCUCAGGAAUUUUAUCUACAUAUAUUAGAGAGAGAGAGAGAGAGAGGUUAUUUGAUGAGAUAUGACCGUACUAGUAAUCCAAGCUCCAGGGAAGAAGAUGCCAUGUACGAGCGAGCUACUAGAGAUCAAAGCUGUGGCUGUUGAAGUGGAAGACAGGCUGAUUCCAGCUUCCCCGGAUGUUCUGCGACCUGCACUCCUUAGCGACGCUCGUCUGAAGACCAGGCGGCCCACACACGAUGACGCCGACGUCGACGCUCCCCUUCGUCUUCGCGAACGAACCGAAUAGAUCUGGACCAAAAGGAGCAGAAAUGUAUAUUACGAAUGUUCAUGAACUGGGAAGAAAAUUACAGGUUUCGACUGUGACUUGGGAUGAGAAGCAGCGGUAGGCGUACCAUGGAAAUCCGGCCGGCGGCCAUAUUGAGUAGUUAGCAUGCUUGCAAAGUUCGCAGUGGUGGUUUCGUUGCGCAGGGUUCGUUCCUUCUCAUCGUCUUCUGUCGACCUCGCACUGCUUGAAUGCUUCUCCCAGAGAUGCCAGAAGAACACGACAGAACCUCCGAGGAUGACGACGCUGGCAACCAUGCAGAUCGUAAACAGGAGGCCGCGGUACCACCAAGCAGAGAUUGCAGAAGGCACGAUGUAAUAUGCUUCCACCAAUCCAUAGAGCAGAACGAAGCCGAAAGUGGAUACAGCGAAGUAGAUCCCAGACCAGAUGUUGUUCCCUGUGCCAACCAAACAUGACAUUCUGCUUCCACUGGUGGUUAAGAGGGAGGAAGACUUCGAGUUUUCAUCAGCAUUGAUAAUGCCCUCUUCCUGCAACAAAGAAGUAGAACUUAGGGGAAUGCCAAGCAAAUUCGAUGAACAAACAUGUUGGAAGUGUGCAUCUACCAGUGGAGCCUCUGAUUCUUGAGUGACACAAGCAAGAAUAUCCAGCUGCAGGGAAUUAAAGCAAGAUGAAGAGAUGGCCUGGUCGUUGAGAACUGAAAGAAGAGAAAGCUCCUUGGAUUUCUUGACAGCCCAGAUGAUGAGCACAUUCUUUGGAAGACAAGGUUUGCCCUCAUUGAUCCGGCGGCAGAUGUCGCUUAUGAUAGCAAAAAAUGGUGAAAUGCCAAUGCCUCCAGCUACCAGGAUUAGAUUCUCAUACCUGACAGCCACAAAUAGCAUGAUCAGUUGAUCUGAAAGCAACAAAUGGAUGAUAGCAAGAACAAGAACACGAGAAACAACUGCCACAGAGUAGGCUUACAUCAAAUGGUAGGGUACUUCAUGUCCAUAUGGUCCUUCAACAGAGGCAGUGAUCUUAGGCUGUGAAGGGAUGCUGAUUUGUGGUUGCUCAGGGACUUUGGAGAUGAUGUCGCGUAGUCUCCCUGUCCAUUCUCCAAGAACUUUUAUAAGAAUUGAUAGAUGGUGUUUGCCAUCCAUCGGACUGGAGGAAACACUGAAGGGAUGCCACUGCAGCCAUGACAAUUCACGUACUUGCAGGAACACAAAACUGAGUGCGUUGUACCGAAGAUCUGCAGUGCAUGAACAGGGAGUUUGAUUAGGAGAUCAGUAAGUAAACAAAGAUCAGCUGAAAAAGAUAAACUUCUUCCCAAUCUUGCUGGAAAUAGUCAAGAAGUUAUACUUGCUGGUUUUGAGAGAACAAGUUCCACAGUUCCACAUGGAUGACAGGCUGCUGAGAGGAUGUUCACGGUGGUCCGCGACUGGCAGAAUCGCAGAAAGCGAUCGAGAACAAAAAGGAAGAUUGCUCCGGCAACGAUGCUGAAGACGAAGUCACCAACAUGUAGGGCGAGGAAGACAACAAAGAUCACAUACAACUGGUGGGUGUAAAAGAAGAGCUCGAAAUAGUUCUUCCGCACAGGGUGGAGUGAUGUAACCCACAUAAGCAGCCCAGCGGCCAGACUAAUUACUCCCGGGAGAUUGGCAAUUCCGAUGUCCUUCCACUCCAGAAUCUGCAUGCAAGUUCACAUCUUGCGUUAACAUAGCAGAUAAAUCUGGGUGGUUUAUACCAAGCAUGCCUCUUCAGAUUCGGUACAUAAACAUGUAGCGUUGCAUGAGUACAUAAGCCCCUUCAGAUCUGAUGGGAGUCCACUGAUUCUAUCUACAGAAUUUUCUUCUUUGAAUAUUUAAUAUAAAACUUAAGUGGACAUACAAAAUCAAUGUUCACAGAAUAAUAUUUCAAUAAUAAUGUUAAUGAUUCAACUUAAAGCCCACUGCAAGUCCAAUUUGGUAAGAAAAAUUAUUUAGCAUAAAAACAUAACUGAAAAGAAGAGUAGUAUGUUAGAUAAAAAGAAACUCUUUUUUGCUCAAGAUCAGCAUCUAAGGUACUCUUUUCCUGGAAAAUGAAAGUAUGAAACAUCAUUAAUGUACCACAAAAAAAAUCUUAGAAUGUGACUAAUUUAAUAUCGAAUUAUUUCUGCUAUAAUAUGUAUCACAAGCAAUUGCUUAGCAUAAUAACAGAUUAACCGCUGAAAAAAAAUAUUUAAUUGAUACUAAACUAGUGCUUCUUUGAAGAUAUACUAUGCUUCGUGGAAAUCAAACGAAACUAGUUCUUUUUGAAGAUAUACUCUGCUUUGUGGAAAUCAAACUAUCUAACUUUGUCUAAGCAAAUCAUAAGGUUAAAACAAUCCAGGAGGCAAUAGUAGAAACAAAUGCAGCAUCUCAGAUACUAUCACCAUUGUGAUUUAUUUCUAUGAUCAUUUUAAUUGCUAAGCAGAACAAUUAAAGGAAGUCGAGCUCACUUCAUGCAGGAGGCGCCCCUGCAGUGCCCAUGAGAUGACAUAGAACAAGCCAUGUAAUGUAAACAUGGCCAUUGUGAGAUGUCCAAGCCACACAUGGUAUCUGGUAGCAUGCUCAAAUGGGAUGUCUAUUAAGCGGAGAAGAAUCGAUCCCCUCGCGACUGGGAGAAAUAGAAAUGCCAAGCAAAACAAUCCGAUCAAGCCUAGGCGAAGCCCAGUCAGCUCCAAGAAUAAGUACCUGAAAGCUUGAAAUUUCUACAUUAGAGAGGAUGCCAAGCAUUACCUACUCAAGUCAUGGCAGUCACAGGUUCAACUUCAAAUUAUUGUUGGAUGAAGAAGAAUGACGAUUUCUAUAGGUUUUAUGAUUUUGUGACAUAGGGAAGAAGAACAAGAAAAGCACAGCAUGCAGAUAGUACCGCAAAUAUGAUGGAAGCGAAUUAAACCGUGUGCAGAUUCCAUGACCUCAUAAAAAAAAGUAUCAUCAAGAACAUCGAGAACGAUUUCUGCAAAGAUCUAAUGAUACUGUGAUACUCUGUCAAGUGUUUUGUUUUUCGCUACAAUUUCAUUAGCAGCAACAUGGACUGAAGCUCUGAACAUGACUAAUAUGACUGAAGAUCCUCACCACUGAUGAUGCUUGACAAGUAAUUUAUGUUUCGUUGAUGGAGCCCAAAAAUUGAAAUCUAAGCAUGCAGAAUGAAGCAUAACAAAUUUCUACAAGAAAUACAUUCAACUUCGCGAUCUUUAAGUGAGAUGAAAAUGUCGGAGCUGACAUACAGUUUAAUAUUCGAAGGGAACAGGAGCUUUGAGAUCAAGCUGCGAUUCUCCAUGGUGUAAGCGAUGAUCGUCCACAGAACAUAAGCGGAAAACAAGACUAUCCCGAUGAAUUCCGCAGCAGAAACAACACCAAAAGGCCCAUCAACGAUGACCGGGAACGUCCAGAGCCGAAACCUCGGAAGCCUCGCACUCUUUUUCCUGACAAAAAGAAGCAUCUUAGUUCUGAAUUCUUGCAGCACAAAAGUUAACUCAAAUCGAAUGAACGAUCGAUACGCAUACUUGAAAUCGUCUCUGGGGAAGGCAAUUAUGUAUACGAAUGCGAGAAGAGCGAUAACAAGGAUCGGGCCGCUGAAACCAAGGAAGAAACUUCCUGCACAUUUGAAGCCACACUUGAUCAGUCAGACAUCUGCCAUCUCUUAAGCCAAACAUCAAACAGUAGGAAGAGAGCAGACCUGUGAUCCCGAAGACGGUUUGUUCAGUCAAUUUAGUCCAUCUCGAGAACAAGCUCUUCACCAACUCGGUGGGGAAGAAGAAUAUGGCAGCAACCCAGACCAGGAAGAUUGCCCACAUCAGUGAUUUGAGCCCCAGUCUAGCCAGAGAAGGCAAGAAAGAGGUAGUCUUGCCACUGCCAUGGCUGAGCUUUUCCUUUGGCAGGAGGGGUUCACGGGCAAGGAGUUCAGCCAUGGGUGGGAGAGGCAGUCUCGGUGCUUCAGGUAACUGUUAACUUCCAAGAAGAAGAACCGCUCAAUUUAUCUUGAAGAGAUUCGAUUGUACAUGAUGGGAAUGUGGGUGAGACAUGGACAAGAACGUCGAGAGAAGCCACAAGUUCCUCGUCGUUCACCAACUCGAUCAACAUCAGGAUUUAGCUAUGUGAUAGCUUUGUUAACAUUGAAGGACUACGGGAAAUAAGAAAGAAAAGUCUACACAAGAAAAUAAUUGAAGACACACUGAAACAAGAAAAAAAGAAUUAUUAUAAGAAGAAGAAAAAUGUUAGGCUAACAGUCUGAUCUUAACUUAUUUGGAUCUUGAUAGAGGAAUAUGGAUUUUUCCAUAUUAUUUUUUUUAUUUUUUUCCUCCACACUUAUUUUUUUUUAUACCUUUUUUUCCUCUAUACUUGUUUUAUUUAUUGUGGAGAUACUAUUAAUAUUAUUUGGAUUAUGAUUACUAAUAAAAUUAAAAACUUAAUCAAAAAAUAUUUCUGAUUAAAGUGAAGGUAGAUGUACGGUUUAAAGAGAGUUGAUGAUGGUAUGAGAAGAUCUAGAAAGUAAUUAUUAUUAUUAAAAUAUUAUAUUUUAAAUAUCGAUAAAAUUAUAAAAAUAAAGACAAUUUUAAAAAAUAAAAAAGUUUAAAAUAACUGUUAGGAUGAUAAAAAUAUAAAAUUCAUGAUAAAUUUAAUAAUAAAUUAUGUACUAAAAAUGAUGAAAAAAAUAUAUAUCAAAUUUCUAAAAGAUAGAGAAAAAAGUGUGAGGAGUAAAGUAAUAUUAGAUGUAUUAAGGCCGAAUACCUAAGAAUACCGAUUAAUAAUAAUAAAUUAAAAAUAAAAUUUUAUUUGAUAAAUAUUCCACACAUGAUUUAGCUUUAAUGGUACAUUUAGUAAUCAUAGAUUUGUUCAUAAAAUUAGAACUAGUUAAGUAAAAAAUCCUAUAAAAAAAAUGAAAUUAGCUUAGAGUGUAAGACCUAUUGAUAUCCUCAUCGAGGUUUAAAAAAACAAAGAAAAAGAAUAACUUAUUUAAUAAUAUUAUGAUAUUUAAAAUAAUGCUUGAUGGAUGGAGAAAGAGUUUUUAUAUAAUUUAUAAGAAUAAGAGUAAUAUACAAAACUAUUCUAAUAAUAAAGGAAUAAAAAUUAUUAUGAAACUUUGAAAAAGAGUCAUAAAAGUUAGACAAGACUUCAGGCAAAUGAAUCUAAAAAUUAAUUUGGUUUAUGCUUUGGAGAUUAGCAAUAUAAGUUAUUUAUUUAUUAAGAUAAUUAAUUAAAAAAUAUAAAGAGAAAAGAAAGAUUUGUAUAUGAUUUUUACUAUUUUAGAGAAAGCUUAUAACAAAGUUUGUAGAGAUUUAUUAUUAUGGAUUUUAGAAAAAAUAUAUAUCCACUGAUUAUAUUAAUGUUAUUAAGGAUAUGUAUGAUAAUGUAGCUACUAAUAUUAAAGGAAAUAUGUCCAAUGAGCCUUUUAUUAUUAUAUAAGUAUAUCAAGACUUUGCAUUAAGUUCAUAUCUUGUCAUAUUGAUAAUGGAUAAAUAAGAUAAACUUAUUUGAUAUAUAUUAUUUAGUGAUGAUAUUAUUUUAGUUAAUAAGAGUCUAAUUAGAAUUAAUUCUAAACUUGAGUUCUUGAGGUAAUCAUUAAAAAUUAAAGAUUUUAUAUUAAUUAAAACUAAGUUUGAAUAUAUGAGAUAUAAUUUUAGUAAUACUACAAAUAGAUAUAAAAAUAUUAUUAAAUUGGAUGAGUAAUAAAUUCUUUUAAAGAAAAGUUUUAGGGAUUUCCUAUCAAUUAUUAAAUAAGAUGAAGAAAUCAAUAAAUAUAUUAUUCAUAAAUUAAAAAAAGGAUGGCUAAAAUGAUAAUGGUCAUUAGAAGUUUUGUAGAAUUAUCAGAUAUCUUUGAGAUAAAAAAAUAUAAUAUAUUAAACAUAUAAUAUUUUAUGGAUCUAAAUAUUAGAUAGUUAAUAAGAUAUAUAUAUAUAUAUAUAUAUAUAUAUAUAUAUAUAUAUAUAAUUUAUAUUGCUAAUAUGUGAAUAUUGAUGUGGAUAUGUGAAGUUAUUAUGAAAGAUAGAAAAAAAUAUAUUUUUAUUCAUAGAUAAUUAAGUAUUACUUGG